GACGUAGGGCGCGAGCGUUGUCCGGAUUUAUUGGGCGUAAAGAGCUCGUAGGCGGCUUGUCGCGUCGACUGUGAAAACCCGCGGCUCAACUGCGGGCCUGCAGCCGAUACGGGCAGGCUAGAGUUCGGUAGGGGAGACUGGAAUUCCCGGUGUAGUGGUGAAAUUCGUAGAUAUCGGGAGGAACACCAGUGGCGAAGGGCGGCGAUCUGGGAAGAUACUGACGCUGAGGUGCGAAAGCGUGGGGAGCGAACAGGA
rnacentral:rRNA from 1 species